AUUUAUAUAGUUUAAUAAAAACCUUACAUUUUCAUUGUAAAAAUAAAAUUAUAUAUUUUUAUAAAUU
rnacentral:tRNA from 1 species